rnacentral:sRNA from 1 species
GCCAGGCGUGGUGGUGCACACCUGUAAUCCCAGCAGCUGGGGAGGCUGAGGCAGGAGGCCAGCCUCAGCAAGACCUGUCUCUA